GUGCCAGCCGCCGCGGUAAUACGUAGGGUGCGAGCGUUAAUCGGAAUUACUGGGCGUAAAGCGUGCGCAGGCGGUUUUGUAAGACAGGCGUGAAAUCCCCGGGCUUAACCUGGGAAUUGCGCUUGUGACUGCAAGGCUAGAGUGCGUCAGAGGGGGGUAGAAUUCCACGUGUAGCAGUGAAAUGCGUAGAGAUGUGGAGGAAUACCGAUGGCGAAGGCAGCCCCCUGGGACGUGACUGACGCUCAUGCACGAAAGCGUGGGGAGCAAACAGGAUUAGAUACCCUGGUAGUCCACGCCCUAAACGAUGUCAACUAGUUGUUGGGGAUUCAUUUUCUCAGUAACGUAGCUAACGCGUGAAGUUGACCGCCUGGGGAGUACGGUCGCAAGAUUAAAACUCAAAUAAAUUGACGGGA
rnacentral:rRNA from 1 species